CAUCUUACCUCAGGGGAGGUACCAUGAUCAGGGAGGUGGUUUUCCCAGGGCGAGGCUCAUCCCCUGCACUCCAGGUGUGCUGACCCCUGCGAUUUCCCCAAAUGCGGGAAACUUGACUGCAUAUAUAUAUGUGUGUGUGUAUAUAUAUAUAUAUAUAUU